rnacentral:hammerhead_ribozyme from 1 species
CUUGUGCUGACGAGUCCCGAAUAGGACGAAACGCGCGUCAAAG